AGAGUUUGAUCCUGGCUCAGGAUGAACGCUGGCGGCGUGCCUAAUACAUGCAAGUCGAGCGAACGGACGAGAAGCUUGCUUCUCUGAUGUUAGCGGCGGACGGGUGAGUAACACGUGGAUAACCUACCUAUAAGACUGGGAUAACUUCGGGAAACCGGAGCUAAUACCGGAUAAUAUUUUGAACCGCAUGGUUCAAAAGUGAAAGACGGUCUUGCUGUCACUUAUAGAUGGAUCCGCGCUGCAUUAGCUAGUUGGUAAGGUAACGGCUUACCAAGGCAACGAUGCAUAGCCGACCUGAGAGGGUGAUCGGCCACACUGGAACUGAGACACGGUCCAGACUCCUACGGGAGGCAGCAGUAGGGAAUCUUCCGCAAUGGGCGAAAGCCUGACGGAGCAACGCCGCGUGAGUGAUGAAGGUCUUCGGAUCGUAAAACUCUGUUAUUAGGGAAGAACAUAUGUGUAAGUAACUGUGCACAUCUUGACGGUACCUAAUCAGAAAGCCACGGCUAACUACGUGCCAGCAGCCGCGGUAAUACGUAGGUGGCAAGCGUUAUCCGGAAUUAUUGGGCGUAAAGCGCGCGUAGGCGGUUUUUUAAGUCUGAUGUGAAAGCCCACGGCUCAACCGUGGAGGGUCAUUGGAAACUGGAAAACUUGAGUGCAGAAGAGGAAAGUGGAAUUCCAUGUGUAGCGGUGAAAUGCGCAGAGAUAUGGAGGAACACCAGUGGCGAAGGCGACUUUCUGGUCUGUAACUGACGCUGAUGUGCGAAAGCGUGGGGAUCAAACAGGAUUAGAUACCCUGGUAGUCCACGCCGUAAACGAUGAGUGCUAAGUGUUAGGGGGUUUCCGCCCCUUAGUGCUGCAGCUAACGCAUUAAGCACUCCGCCUGGGGAGUACGACCGCAAGGUUGAAACUCAAAGGAAUUGACGGGGACCCGCACAAGCGGUGGAGCAUGUGGUUUAAUUCGAAGCAACGCGAAGAACCUUACCAAAUCUUGGCAUCCUUUGACAACUCUAGAGAUAGAGCCUUCCUCUUCGGGGGACAAAGUGACAGGUGGUGCAUGGUUGUCGUCAGCUCGUGUCGUGAGAUGUUGGGUUAAGUCCCGCAACGAGCGCAACCCUUAAGCUUAGUUGCCAUCAUUAAGUUGGGCACUCUAAGUUGACUGCCGGUGACAAACCGGAGGAAGGUGGGGAUGACGUCAAAUCAUCAUGCCCCUUAUGAUUUGGGCUACACACGUGCUACAAUGGACAAUACAAAGGGCAGCGAAACCGCGAGGUCAAGCAAAUCCCAUAAAGUUGUUCUCAGUUCGGAUUGUAGUCUGCAACUCGACUACAUGAAGCUGGAAUCGCUAGUAAUCGUAGAUCAGCAUGCUACGGUGAAUACGUUCCCGGGUCUUGUACACACCGCCCGUCACACCACGAGAGUUUGUAACACCCGAAGCCGGUGGAGUAACCUUUUAGGAGCUAGCCGUCGAAGGUGGGACAAAUGAUUGGGGUGAAGUCGUAACAAGGUAGCCGUAUCGGAAGGUGCGGCUGGAUCACCU
rnacentral:rRNA from 2 species